GCCUAAAAUCUAGCCCCACCCCCUCCCCUCCCCAUCUACUAAACUAACUUAAAACAUUUUUAUACUUAAGUAAAGGAGAUUGAAAAACUUAAUGGAGCAAUAAAAAUAGUACCGCAAGGGAAAGAUGAAAUAGAAAUGAAAUAAUACUCAAGCACAAAAAAGUAGAGACACCCCCUCGUACCUUUUGCAUCAUGGUUUAACUAGUCUAAUCAAGCAAAGAGCAUUUUAGUUUGACCCCCCGAAACUAAGCGAGCUACUUCAGGGCAGCUUUAUGAGCGAACCCGUCUCUGUUGCAAAAGAGUGGGAUGACCCUCAAGUAGAAGUGACAGACCUAACGAGCUUAGUGAUAGCUGGUUACUCAAGAAAAGGAUUUUAGUCCAACCUAAAGAACCCUCAAAUUUUUAAAAAUUUUCUAUUAUAACUUUAGAGCAAUUCAAAUAAGGUACAGCCUAUUUGAAACAGGAUACAACCUCGACUGACGGGUAACAAAUUUUUUCUACAAACAAGUAGGCCUAAGAGCAGCCACCUUUAUAAAAGCGUCAAAGCUUAUUCAUUUAAUCCAAUUAAUCCCCUAAACCCCCUUCAACCCUCUAAUAGUAUUGAGUAAUUCUAUUCACCUUAUAGAAUUUAUAAUGUUAAAACUAGUAACAAGAAGUAAACCUUCUCCUAAAUGUAAGUGUAAAUCAGUAAAGGAUAAACCACUGAAAAUUAACGUCUAUGAGCCCACAUUAGCAACUUCACAAGAAAACCCUAAUGCAACACCCCGUUAACCUAACACAAGAGCAUUCCAAGAAAGAUUAAAAGAGAAAGAAGGAACUCGGCAAAUCAUAACCCCGCCUGUUUACCAAAAACAUCGCCUCUUGCAUAAGAUAAGAGGUCCAGCCUGCCCAGUGACCCAAGUUCAACGGCCGCGGUAUCCUAACCGUGCGAAGGUAGCGUAAUCACUUGUUCUUUAAAUGAGGACUAGUAUGAAUGGCAUCACGAGGGUUAUACUGUCUCCUUUUUCUAAUCAGUGAAACUAACCUCCCCGUGAAGAGGCGGGGAUAAAACUAUAAGACGAGAAGACCCUAUGGAGCUUUAAAUUUUUAUUUCAACUGCUCAACCCACAAAAAGUUCCGACUACUCACAAUCAGCCUAGCACUAUGACAAUAAAUUUUAGGUUGGGGUGACCGCGGAGAAUAAAAAAACCUCCACGUUGAAUUAGGCCUUUAGCCUUGAAUCAAGAGCCACGACUCUAUGUACUAAAAAACUAACAUCCAUUGACCCAAUUAUUUUGAUCAACGAACCAAGUUACCCUAGGGAUAACAGCGCAAUCCACUUUAAGAGCCCCUAUCGACAAGUGGGUUUACGACCUCGAUGUUGGAUCAGGGUAUCCCAGUGGCGCAGCCGCUACUAAAGGUUCGUUUGUUCAACGAUUAAAACCCU
rnacentral:rRNA from 1 species